GUUUUCUUAUUUUUGCUAUAUUUGUCUCAUUGUUUUUCAUUGGGAGAUCUUCAAUCCAUGUUGUUAAAUUAAACAGUAGGCCCAUCUAGAGGAGAUGGCUUCAUAAAUGAAAUGAUAAUUUGUCAUUUGUUCAUGCUUAUUUUACGACCAAUCCCUCACAAGCUAGCUAGGUCUAUAAUAAUAGCCGAUGAAAAACAUUAAAAUGUGAUCGUUCGACAUGUGAAUAGCAGCAAAACCUUUUGUUUGUGUUGAUAUGCAUUACAAGCGCUUUUUAAUCUAGUUUAUUUAGAUUUGUUGACAUACACAAUAGCCUUCACAUACUGUAUGCUGCUACCCUGAGCACUUUUUCAUUUAAAGUCGCCUACACUCCAGUGUCCCCGGUAAUCCGCUUUCUGUCCUUGUUUGUCGUGACGUUCGUGACACGUGAGAAGCUUAUUGUCCUCACAUGCAAAUGUAUGAAUAAACAUGAAUAUGCAAUAUAUCAUCAUCAGACAACAUUAUGUCGCAUUCAAUUCCCACUGCGUAAGAAAGUACACUAGGCCUGAUUUGAAUGUUCUUCCCGAGCAGUGGCGACCUGUCAUUCAUGGCAGGUGCAGAGCCCCACAUUUUGUUGUUGUUGCCUGUUUUGCAUGUUAUUUUGGCAUUAAUACCUGUCACACAUCCGUUUGCAAACAAUGUACAAAAAAACGAGUUAAUAAAGCUUCCAUACAAAUAUGGAUCUUCUCUUCUUUGCUUUCUUGAGUAAGGCAGCUCCAAAAUGCAGGUGUUUCAGCCACAUUUUAUGCAGUGAUAGCUCGCUGUAGCUUAUGCUUUCAGUACUAGAUUCAUUCUCUGAUCCUUUGAUUGGGGUGGACAACAUGCCAGUUCAUGUUGCAAGAGCUCUGAUAGGUUGGAGGACGUCCUCCAGAAGUUGUUAUAAUUACUGUGUAAGUCUAUGGAAGGGGGUGAGAACCAAGAGCCUCCUAGGAUUUGUAUUGAAGUCAAUGUACCAAGAGUAGGAUGGAAGCUAGAUGUCCUCUAGCUACACCCUGGUACUACCCUACAGAGUGCUGUUGAGGCUACUGUAGGCCUUCAUUACAAAACAGUGUGUUUUAAUCAAUUAUUUGGUGAAAUGUGAAUAUAUUUAGAAUAGUUUUUUAUCUAAAAAUUAUAACUUUUUAAAUGUAAUAAUGUUUAAAAAACGUUUACUGAGGAGGAUGGUCCUCCUCUGAAGAGCCUCCACUGGUGUCGAGGAAAUCAUGCGUGUCGUAGAAAAACAGAAUUAAAAAGGAAUUAGUGCAGGUGCAAAAAUAAGUGAACCCCAAGUUGCAUUGGUUAAAUCAAGUAGGUAAGUAUAAUCAGGUGGGUAAAUAAUUGGGUACAAAAUGAACCAAUCAAAAGGAGAGAUUGUUAGGAAAGAGUUUGGGUGGGACUCUGAUAAAUAGAGAUAAGAAACGUGGUCAGUUUGGUGUUACCCAUCCAGGUGAAUACAAACCACACCAUGCCGAGAGGAAAGGAGAUCUCAGAGGACAUCAGUCUGGGGAAGGCUAUACAAUCAUCUCAAAUAUAUUUGAGCUCCAUCAGUCCACUGUGGGGCAAAUAAUUUACAAAUAGAGAACAUUUAAUAUGACAGCAACUCGGCCUAGAAGUGGACGCCCUUCCAAAAUAUCCCCAAGAGCCACAAGAACAAUAGUAAAUCAGAGACCACCUUAUCCCAACAGUAAAGCAUGGUGGUGGGAAUGUCAAGAUCUGGAGCUGCUUUUCCUCCUCUGGACCUGGAUGACUCCACAUCAUUAAAGGGAACCAUGAAUUCUGAGGUAUACCAGGAGAUUCUUGAACAGAAUGUCAGGCCAUCAGUAAAGGAGCUAAAGCUGGGCCGAAAAUUGAUCUUCCAACAAGACAAUGACCCAAAGUAUUGAAGCAAAUCUACCAAAGAAUGGCUCAGGAGAAGGACGAUUUGUGUUUUGGGUUGGCCAAGUCAAAGUCCUGACCUAAAUCCAGUCUAGAUGCUGUGGCAGGACCUGAAGCGGGCAGUUCAUGCCAGACACCCCUCAAACUUCACACAAUUGGCUGAGUUCUGUAAGGAGGAGUGGGCAAAAAUCCCUCAAAACAGAUGUCAGAGACUGAAUAAUGGCUAUAGGAGACGUUUACUCCAAGUUAUCACUGCUAAUCUAGGUGUCACAAGCUAUUGACUGAAGGGGUUCACAUAUUUUUGCACACAUCAAAUCUGAGUUUCUGUUAAAUAAACCACUUUUGUUAAAUAAACAAUGAAAAUAUAUACAUUUUUUGUUUCUGUCAUUAAAGAAUUUUAUGUUUAUUUUAAUAUUUUAUAGCAAAAUAAUUACCAGCCCUGUAGGUUUCACAUACUUUCAAGCAGCACUGUAAAUUGUCAGUAGAAACCACAUUUGUUUAAGCAAGUCAGCCACAUCAGCUUUUUUUUUUUAAAGGCAGUAGAGGCUGAAUGAACUGUUUCACUGCCAGACAAGGCUCUGCUGAUAGCCAGGUGUAGCGAUGGUAAGGUGUUGGGACAGCUUUAUGGACCUAACAGUUUGUUGGCACCAUUUGUCACUGUUAUAGUGCAAUUCAUUUAUUGAUUAGUGUUGUGUAGUGGCUUUGCUGGCAUGCAUCCUAAUUAUUAUUUUUUUUGUUUGACCAACCAAGAUUUACAUGCUAAAAUCGGCACUGAUUCCAAGACAGUUUAGGUGUGUUAGUGUUCGGUGAACAAUAAUCUAAUUGUGACUAGGCCAAUUAGUGAAUUGUCUCAAAUCUACUGCGAAACUAUAGCCUACCAUUGAUUGCUGCACUACGAGUACACACUGAAAAGGGAGGAUAGCUUCUAAAGCUCCAACCAUUAUUUCAGGGACCAUCUCAGACACAGGAAGAGCUCAUUAUAGAAUACCCAGUAGCUGGAAAAAUGUACUAAAUAAACCUCUCAGAUUCUA